rnacentral:rRNA from 1 species
UUAUCGUUUAUUUGAUAGUACCUUACUACAUGGAUAACCGUGGUAAUUCUAGAGCUAAUACAUGCUAAAAACCUCGACUUCGGAAGGGGUGUAUUUAUUAGAUAAAAAACCAAUGCCCUUCGGGGCUCCUUGGUGAAUCAUAAUAACUUAACGAAUCGCAUGGCCUUGCGCCGGCGAUGGUUCAUUCAAAUUUCUGCCCUAUCAACUUUCGAUGGUAGGAUAGUGGCCUACCAUGGUAUCAACGGGUAACGGGGAAUUAGGGUUCGACUCCGGAGAGGGAGCCUGAGAAACGGCUACCACAUCCAAGGAAGGCAGCAGGCGCGCAAAUUACCCAAUCCCGACACGGGGAGGUAGUGACAAUAAAUACUGAUACAGGGCUCUUUUGGGUCUUGUAAUUGGAAUGAGUACAAUUUAAAUCCCUUAACGAGGAACAAUUGGAGGGCAAGUCUGGUGCCAGCAGCCGCGGUAAUUCCAGCUCCAAUAGCGUAUAUUAAAGUUGUUGCAGUUAAAAAGCUCGUAGUUGAACCUUGGGCCUGGCUGGCCGGUCCGCCUCACCGCGUGUACUGGUCCGGCCGGGCCUUUCCUUCUGGGGAACCUCAUGCCCUUCACUGGGCGUGUUGGGGAACCAGGACUUUUACUUUGAAAAAAUUAGAGUGUUCAAAGCAGGCCUUUGCUCGAAUACAUUAGCAUGGAAUAAUAGAAUAGGACGUGUGGUUCUAUUUUGUUGGUUUCUAGGACCGCCGUAAUGAUUAAUAGGGAUAGUCGGGGGCAUCAGUAUUCAAUCGUCAGAGGUGAAAUUCUUGGAUUGAUUGAAGACUAACUACUGCGAAAGCAUUUGCCAAGGAUGUUUUCAUUAAUCAGUGAACGAAAGUUAGGGGAUCGAAGACGAUCAGAUACCGUCGUAGUCUUAACCAUAAACUAUGCCGACUAGGGAUCGGACGGUGUUAGUAUUUUGACCCGUUCGGCACCUUACGAGAAAUCAAAGUUUUUGGGUUCUGGGGGGAGUAUGGUCGCAAGGCUGAAACUUAAAGAAAUUGACGGAAGGGCACCACCAGGCGUGGAGCCUGCGGCUUAAUUUGACUCAACACGGGGAAACUCACCAGGUCCAGACACAAUAAGGAUUGACAGAUUGAGAGCUCUUUCUUGAUUUUGUGGGUGGUGGUGCAUGGCCGUUCUUAGUUGGUGGAGUGAUUUGUCUGCUUAAUUGCGAUAACGAACGAGACCUUAACCUGCUAAAUAGCCAGGCCCGCUUUGGCGGGUCGCCGGCUUCUUAGAGGGACUAUCGGCUCAAGCCGAUGGAAGUUUGAGGCAAUAACAGGUCUGUGAUGCCCUUAGAUGUUCUGGGCCGCACGCGCGCUACACUGACAGAGCCAACGAGUUCAUUUCCUUAGCCGAAAGGUUUGGGUAAUCUUGUUAAACUCUGUCGUGCUGGGGAUAGAGCAUUGCAAUUAUUGCUCUUCAACGAGGAAUGCCUAGUAAGCGCAUGUCAUCAGCAUGCGUUGAUUACGUCCCUGCCCUUUGUACACACCGCCCGUCGCUACUACCGAUUGAAUGGCUCGGUGAGGCCUUCGGACUGGCCCAGGGAGGUCGGCAACGACCACCCAGGGCCGGAAAGUUGGUCAAACCCGGUCAUUUAGAGGAAGUAAAAGUCGUAACAAGGUCUCCGUAGGUGAACCUGCGGAGGGAUCAUUACAAGACAACGCCCGGGCUUCGGCCUGGUUUUGUUCAUAACCCUUUGUUGUCCGACUCUGUUGCCUCCGGGGCGACCCUGCCUUCGGGCGGGGGCUCCGGGUGGACACUUCAAACUCUUGCGUAACUUUGCAGUCUGAGUAAACUUAAUUAAUAAAUUAAAACUUUUAACAACGGAUCUCUUGGUUCUGGCAUCGAUGAAGAACGCAGCGAAAUGCGAUAAGUAAUGUGAAUUGCAGAAUUCAGUGAAUCAUCGAAUCUUUGAACGCACAUUGCGCCCCCUGGUAUUCCGGGGGGCAUGCCUGUUCGAGCGUCAUUUCACCACUCAAGCCUCGCUUGGUAUUGGGCAACGCGGUCCGCCGCGUGCCUCAAAUCGUCCGGCUGGGUCUUCUGUCCCCUAAGCGUUGUGGAAACUAUUCGCUAAAGGGUGUUCGGGAGGCUACGCCGUAAAACAACCCCAUUUCUAAGGUUGACCUCGGAUCAGGUAGGGAUACCCGCUGAACUUAAGCAUAUCAAUAAGCGGAGGAAAAGAAACCAACAGGGAUUGCUCUAGUAACGGCGAGUGAAGCAGCAAUAGCUCAAAUUUGAAAUCUGGCGUCUUCGACGUCCGAGUUGUAAUUUGUAGAGGAUGCUUCUGAGUGGCCACCGACCUAAGUUCCUUGGAACAGGACGUCAUAGAGGGUGAGAAUCCCGUAUGCGGUCGGAAAGGCGCUCUAUACGUAGCUCCUUCGACGAGUCGAGUUGUUUGGGAAUGCAGCUCUAAAUGGGAGGUAAAUUUCUUCUAAAGCUAAAUAUUGGCCAGAGACCGAUAGCGCACAAGUAGAGUGAUCGAAAGAUGAAAAGCACUUUGGAAAGAGAGUUAAAAAGCACGUGAAAUUGUUAAAAGGGAAGGGAUUGCAACCAGACUUGCUCGCGGUGUUCCGCCGGUCUUCUGACCGGUCUACUCGCCGCGUUGCAGGCCAGCAUCGUCUGGUGCCGCUGGAUAAGACUUGAGGAAUGUAGCUCCCUCGGGAGUGUUAUAGCCUCUUGUGAUGCAGCGAGCGCCGGGCGAGGUCCGCGCUUCGGCUAGGAUGCUGGCGUAAUGGUCGUAAUCCGCCCGUCUUGAAACACGGACCAAGGAGUCUAACAUCUAUGCGAGUGUUCGGGUGUCAAACCCCUACGCGUAAUGAAAGUGAACGGAGGUGAGAACCGCAAGGUGCAUCAUCGACCGAUCCUGAUGUCUUCGGAUGGAUUUGAGUAAGAGCAUAGCUGUUGGGACCCGAAAGAUGGUGAACUAUGCCUGAAUAGGGUGAAGCCAGAGGAAACUCUGGUGGAGGCUCGCAGCGGUUCUGACGUGCAAAUCGAUCGUCAAAUUU